rnacentral:rRNA from 1 species
CCUACGGGUGGCUGCAGUGGGGAAUAUUGGGCAAUGGGCGCAAGCCUGACCCAGCAACGCCGCGUGAAGGAAGAAGGCCCUCGGGUUGUAAACUUCUUUUAUUCGGGACGAAACAAAUGACGGUACCGAAUGAAUAAGCCACGGCUACCUACGUGCCAGCCGCCGCGGUAAUACGUAGGUGGCAAUUGUUAUCCGGAUUUACUGGGUUUAAAGGGUGUGUAGGCGGGGGAGCAAGUCAGACGUGAAAUUCCAGGGCUGAACACUGGAACUGGGUUUGAAACUGUGCUUAUUGAGUGAUGGGGAGGCAGGCGGAAUUCGGGGUGUAGCGGUGAAAUGCGUAGAUAUACGGAGGAACACCAGUGGCGAAGGCGGCCUACUGGACAUUAACUGACGCUGAGGCGCGAAGGCGUGGGGAGCGAACAGGAUUAGAUACCCUAGUAGUC